rnacentral:lncRNA from 1 species
CUAUAAGUAAGGUAUAUUUUAAAACAUAAGAGCAAAGCAUAAGAAAAAAGUCCAAAUCUAGCAAUGCUUUUUAUACAUUUUUGAAAGUGUAACUUUGGAGCCAGACAGAUCUAUGUUCAUUGCCAGUUUGGGGACUAUGCUGACUCUGCCGCUCCCUUAUCUGGGACACUGAUUGGUAAUAGUACUUGUAGAAAUUUUUUCAGUGUGGCCUUCCACAAGCCCAUCCGCCCCAGAAUCAUCAGAGACCUAGAUAAACACAUAUUCUUGGGCCCUAACUCAGAUUAUUAACCAGUAUCCCAGGUGAUUUUCACGCUCUCUAAAACUGAAGAGUUGCGGGGUUAGUGUGUAGAUUAACAUUAACAACCAAAGCAUUUAAGGUUCUGGUAAACUGAGCCAACUCUGAACCUGACGUUAACGGGGGAAACCGUGAAUUCUAAAGGCAAUGUUGCCAAGGUUUUCGUUGUAAGGAAGGAGGAGGAAUCUCGUUAGGACUGCUCUGGGACCCCAGAGGACCGCAGACUGGUGUGGUAGGACCAGAAAGGGCCCAGGCUUUGAAAGGGCCACGUUAUGGCGAAUGUUGGUGGUGGUCUUUAGUACUUGCAGCCUGGAGGACUGCACAAGACUGUGCUCCAGAGACCCUACACAGCGAUGUCUCAGACGAUCUAGCGAAGGCCACUGCAGGAAAAUGGUUGUCUGUUUUGUUUCAAAGACCUGGCAGUAACCAACUUGAUGCCUGCCAUAAGGACCAGUGCACUGUUGAUGACUGCCCAGUGAUUUUUAUAUCUGUAUGCCAGCUACUCAGAUAGACCACGUAUAAAGGGUAGGGGGAUUUUAGAAAGGAAAAGAAACCCCAGCUUCCACUGAGCUUUGAAAUUUCAGAUGAUAUACUGCCAACUUACAGACCCUACUUUAAUCAGAGCAGCCACAUGAGAAGACUGUUUCUAUUUACCCUAGGUCAUUUAGGAAACCAGUGAUAAGUAGGCCAUGCAAAAUUUCAACUUCUCUUAAAGUUGGCAUGUUCUCCUCAACUAGAGUUGAGUCUUGAUUUCAUUUUCUGAGUAGAAAUAUUUACAACGCUGUCAUACAUGAGUUUUAGCUUUCCUUCUGUCUACCAACAAGUGGGCUUUUUAAAGAAUGCUUAGGGUUAAUUGGAAGUUGUUUUCUAACGGUGGGCCCGUGUAGAUUUAAAUAAUGACUAAACUGCUUUACUGGUCUAGUUCAAAUUUCAUCAAAACUGACAUUAGCUAGAAAAAAUUAACAUUGUAUUUUAGUUUUAAAGUUUGUAUUCAUAUAAUAAAAAAGUAAUCUUGCAAAACA